UACGGGGGGGGCAAGCGUUGUUCGGAAUUACUGGGCGUAAAGGGCUCGUAGGCGGCCAACUAGGUCAGACGUGAAAUCCCCAGGCUCAACCUGGGAACUGCGUCUGAUACUGGAUGGCUUGAAUCCGGGAGAGGGAUGCAGAAUUCCAGGUGUAGCGGUGAAAUGCGUAGAUAUCUGGAGGAAUACCGGUGGCGAAGGCGGCAUCCUGGACCGGCAUUGACGCUGAGGAGCGAAAGCUAGGGGAGCAAACGGG
rnacentral:rRNA from 1 species